rnacentral:rRNA from 1 species
UGGGGAAUUUUCCGCAAUGGGCGCAAGCCUGACGGAGCAACGCCGCGUGAGGGAUGAAGGCCUCUGGGCUGUAAACCUCUUUUAUCAAGGAAGAAGAUCUGACGGUACUUGAUGAAUAAGCCACGGCUAAUUCCGUGCCAGCAGCCGCGGUAAUACGGGAGUGGCAAGCGUUAUCCGGAAUUAUUGGGCGUAAAGCGUCCGCAGGCGGUCUUGUAAGUCUGUCGUUAAAGCGUGGAGCUUAACUCCAUUUAAGCGAUGGAAACUGUAAGACUAGAGUGUGGUAGGGGCAGAGGGAAUUCCCGGUGUAGCGGUGAAAUGCGUAGAUAUCGGGAAGAACACCAGUGGCGAAGGCGCUCUGCUGGGCCAUAACUGACGCUCAUGGACGAAAGCCAGGGGAGCGAAAGGG